AGUGAACGCUGGCGGUAGGCCUAACACAUGCAAGUCGAACGGCAGCACAGUAAGAGCUUGCUCUUACGGGUGGCGAGUGGCGGAUGGGUGAGGAAUACAUCGGCAUCUACUUUUUCGUGGGGGAUAACGUUGGGAAACUUACGCUAAUACCGCAUACGACCUACGGGUGAAAGCAGGGGAUCUUCGGACCUUGCACGAUUGAAUGAGCCGAUGUCGGAUUAGCUAGUUGGCGGGGUAAAGGCCCACCAAGGCGACGAUCCGUAGCUGGUCUGAGAGGAUGAUCAGCCACACUGGAACUGAGACACGGGCCAGACUCCUACGGGAGGCAGCAGUGGGGAAUAUUGGACAAUGGGCGCAAGCCUGAUCCAGCCAUACCGCGUGGGUGAAGAAGGCCUUCGGGUUGUAAAGCCCUUUUGUUGGGAAAGAAAAGCAGCAGGUUAAUACCCCGCUGUUCUGACGGUACCCAAAGAAUAAGCACCGGCUAACUUCGUG
rnacentral:rRNA from 1 species